AGUGAACGCUGGCGGUAGGCCUAACACAUGCAAGUCGAACGGCAGCACAGUAAGAGCUUGCUCUUACGGGUGGCGAGUGGCGGACGGGUGAGGAAUACAUCGGAAUCUACUUUUUCGUGGGUGAUAACGUAGGGAAACUUACGCUAAUACCGCAUACGACCUACGGGUGAAAGCAGGGGAUCUUCGGACCUUUCGCGAUUGAAUGAGCCGAUGUCGGAUUAGCUAGUUGGCGGGGUAAAGGCCCACCAAGGCGACGAUCCGUAGCUGGUCUGAGAGGAUGAUCAGCCACACUGGAACUGAGACACGGUCCAGACUCCUACGGGAGGCAGCAGUGGGGAAUAUUGGACAAUGGGCGAAAGCAUGAUCCAGCAAUACCGCGUGGGUGAAGAAGGCCUUCGGGUUGUAAAGCACUUUUGUUGGGAAAGAAAAGAAGCAGGUUAAUACCCCGCUGUUCUGACGGUACCCAAAGAAUAAGCACCGGCUAACUUCGUG
rnacentral:rRNA from 1 species